rnacentral:sRNA from 1 species
UUUUUUUUGGUUAAAAC